GGAUGGGGAUGAGAUUUCAAUUGCUCCGGGACUGACGCAUCUCCUCACGUGGGCCAGGCCUUCACACACCCAAAGCGGAUCCGCGGCAGUGAAAACCACUGACAACCGGCCUCAUGACCCAGGCAGAAACACAGAAAGAGGCUCACCGAAGACAGGGCGACAUGCGAGAAAUCGCUUUGUGGCGCAUAGGGCACAUUCCGCCAAAGAUACAUACUCACACGGGCACACACACAGAAACCGACAGGGAGAGUGAAAGAGACACACAGAGACUGAGAGACACAGAGAGAAGAGAGAAUGGGAGGCACACACACACUCACACACACACACACACACA
rnacentral:lncRNA from 10 species